rnacentral:rRNA from 1 species
GGAUCUCAGGCGUAGUCGAUGGACAACGGGUUGAUAUUCCCGUACCGGCGCUGACGCGCCCAUGCUGAACCUGGUUGUGCUAACCAUCUGAUCGGAUGUGUCUCUUCGGAGGUGUGUUCGGGAGGUUGGGAUCCUGGCUGGUAGUAGGCAA